UUUAUGGAGAGUUUGAUCCUGGCUCAGGAUGAACGCUGGCGGCGUGCCUAAUACAUGCAAGUCGAGCGAACGGACGAGAAGCUUGCUUCUCUGAUGUUAGCGGCGGACGGGUGAGUAACACGUGGAUAACCUACCUAUAAGACUGGGAUAACUUCGGGAAACCGGAGCUAAUACCGGAUAAUAUUUUGAACCGCAUGGUUCAAAAGUGAAAGACGGUCUUGCUGUCACUUAUAGAUGGAUCCGCGCUGCAUUAGCUAGUUGGUAAGGUAACGGCUUACCAAGGCAACGAUGCAUAGCCGACCUGAGAGGGUGAUCGGCCACACUGGAACUGAGACACGGUCCAGACUCCUACGGGAGGCAGCAGUAGGGAAUCUUCCGCAAUGGGCGAAAGCCUGACGGAGCAACGCCGCGUGAGUGAUGAAGGUCUUCGGAUCGUAAAACUCUGUUAUUAGGGAAGAACAUAUGUGUAAGUAACUGUGCACAUCUUGACGGUACCUAAUCAGAAAGCCACGGCUAACUACGUGCCAGCAGCCGCGGUAAUACGUAGGUGGCAAGCGUUAUCCGGAAUUAUUGGGCGUAAAGCGCGCGUAGGCGGUUUUUUAAGUCUGAUGUGAAAGCCCACGGCUCAACCGUGGAGGGUCAUUGGAAACUGGAAAACUUGAGUGCAGAAGAGGAAAGUGGAAUUCCAUGUGUAGCGGUGAAAUGCGCAGAGAUAUGGAGGAACACCAGUGGCGAAGGCGACUUUCUGGUCUGUAACUGACGCUGAUGUGCGAAAGCGUGGGGAUCAAACAGGAUUAGAUACCCUGGUAGUCCACGCCGUAAACGAUGAGUGCUAAGUGUUAGGGGGUUUCCGCCCCUUAGUGCUGCAGCUAACGCAUUAAGCACUCCGCCUGGGGAGUACGACCGCAAGGUUGAAACUCAAAGGAAUUGACGGGGACCCGCACAAGCGGUGGAGCAUGUGGUUUAAUUCGAAGCAACGCGAAGAACCUUACCAAAUCUUGACAUCCUUUGACAACUCUAGAGAUAGAGCCUUCCCCUUCGGGGGACAAAGUGACAGGUGGUGCAUGGUUGUCGUCAGCUCGUGUCGUGAGAUGUUGGGUUAAGUCCCGCAACGAGCGCAACCCUUAAGCUUAGUUGCCAUCAUUAAGUUGGGCACUCUAAGUUGACUGCCGGUGACAAACCGGAGGAAGGUGGGGAUGACGUCAAAUCAUCAUGCCCCUUAUGAUUUGGGCUACACACGUGCUACAAUGGACAAUACAAAGGGCAGCGAAACCGCGAGGUCAAGCAAAUCCCAUAAAGUUGUUCUCAGUUCGGAUUGUAG
rnacentral:rRNA from 1 species